GACGAACGCUGGCGGCGUGCCUAAUACAUGCAAGUAGAACGCAGUUACGAACGGGGGAGUACCGCGUAGGUAACUGCCUCAUAGCGGCGGUCAACUAUUGGAAACGAUAGCUAAUACCGCCUACUGCGGGAGUGACCUGCGUUGUAUGAGGUAGUUGGUGAGGUAAAGGCUCACCAAAGCGACGAUCCAGAGCCGGACUGAGAGGGGGAUUGGCCAAACUGGGAACGAGACACGGGCCCGGCGCCUACGGGAGGGCGCAGGAGGGAAACUUCGGGAAUUGAAGGAAGGCUGACCAGGCAACGCCGCGUGGAGUAAGAAAGUUUUCCGGUUGUUAAGCUCUGUUGGUAGAGAAGCGGUAACUAACCAGAAAGCGACGGCUAACUACGUGCCAGCAGCCGCGGUAAUAC
rnacentral:rRNA from 1 species